rnacentral:rRNA from 1 species
UACGAAGGGUGCAACCGUUGCUCGGAAUCAUUGGGCGUAAAGCGCACGUAGGCGGCUUCGCAAGUCGGAUGUGAAAUCCCUCGGCUCAACCGAGGACGUGCAUACGAAACUGCGAAGCUUGAGUACUGAAGAGGAUCGCGGAAUUCCCGGUGUAGAGGUGAAAUUCGUAGAUAUCGGGAGGAACACCAGUGGCGAAGGCGGCGAUCUGGGCAGAUACUGACGCUGAGGUGCGAAAGCGUGGGGAGCAAACAGG